GGAUGUGAGGGCGAUCUGGCUGUGACAUCUAUCACUGCAUUGAUCACCAGCGUUGAUUCGGCUGAUCUGGCCAACUAGGCAAGUGUCCCCUUCUUCCCUCACCGCUCCAUGUGUAUGCCUCCUGAAGUUGGAUCUUGGUCCAAGAGGACAACCUUCCCUGAUAAAGGAGAACCAUUCUUCAGUCAAGGGUAUAUGAGUAGCUGCUCUCCCUUACUAGAACCUCCAAACAAGCUCUCAAGGCCCAUUUGUAGGAAAACGUAGGGUAGUCAAGCUUCCAAGACUCCAGAUACAUCCAAAUGAUGCACUGACUGUGGCAGUCUGUGUUUCUUA
ensembl:misc_RNA 7SK 7SK RNA